UGGGGAAUUUUGCACAAUGGGGGAAACCCUGAUGCAGCGACGCCGCGUGAUUUAGAAGGCCUUCGGGUUGUAAAAAUCUUUUUUACGGGAUGAAAAUGACAGUACCGUAAGAAUAAGGUCCGGCUAAAUACGUGCCAGCAGCCGCGGUAAUACGUAUGGACCGAGCGUUGUCCGGAAUCAUUGGGCGUAAAGGGUACGUAGGCGGCCUAGUAAGUUAGAAGUGAAAUAAUAUAGCUCAACUAUAUAAAGCUUUUAAAACUGCUAGGCUUGAGAGAUGGAAUGGAAAGUGGAAUUCCUAGUGUAGCGGUGAAAUGCGCAGAUAUUAGGAAGAAUACCGGUGGCGAAGGCGACUUUCUGGUCAUCAUCUGACGCUGAGGUACGAAAGCGUGGGUAGCAAACAGG
rnacentral:rRNA from 1 species